rnacentral:rRNA from 1 species
AACGAACGCUGGCGGCAUGCCUAACACAUGCAAGUCGAACGAGACCUUCGGGUCUAGUGGCGCACGGGUGCGUAACGCGUGGGAACCUGCCCUUAGGUUCGGAAUAACUCCCCGACAGGGGUGCUAAUACCGGAUAAUGUCUUCGGACCAAAGAUUUAUCGCCUUUGGAUGGGCCCGCGUUGGAUUAGCUAGUUGGUAGGGUAAAAGCCUACCAAGGCGACGAUCCAUAGCUGGUCUGAGAGGAUGGUCAGCCACACUGGGACUGAGACACGGCCCAGACUCCUACGGGAGGCAGCAGUGGGGAAUAUUGGACAAUGGGCGAAAGCCUGAUCCAGCAAUGCCGCGUGAGUGAUGAAGGCCUGAGGGUUGUAAAGCUCUUUUACCCGGGAUGAUAAUGACAGUACCGGGAGAAUAAGCUCCGGCUAACUCCGUG